UCUUUCUUUGAUUCAGCCCCCAGUUCUCAGCCCACUAACUCCCUUCAAUGCAUUGCUUGUAACCCCACAACUUCUCAGUGCAUCACUCCAAUAACCUGUUCAGGAGAUGAGACCAACUGCUUCUCAGCAACUUUGAAAAAUGGAACAAACACAAUUCCUGCACUGGGUUGUGCAUCACCAAACAACUGUACAGCUGCUUCAGGUCUGGGAAGUUUGCCGUUCAUGCAGAGUGUUGGUUCAAUCACCAGUGGACCAACCUGCUGUGCAACCGAUCUGUGCAAUAAUCCAAGUACAACCACCACCACAGUUGCACCAGCUACUACAACCAGAACAACUGCUGCAGCAGCAACAACUUCAACAAUAUCUCUGACCAUCACAUCCACAAGAGCCGGAACUCUGCAGUGUCUGACCUGCACAGAUGCGACAUGUUCAAGCACAGUUUCGGUGACAUGCAGCUCAGUAACGAUGUGUAUAACAGCUUCCGUCUUAGCUUCUUCAUCUGGAGCAACACAACGACAAAUCUACAAAGGCUGCUUCCUCUCUGUGUCCAAGAACACCCCGUCAGACAUUUUCAGUCAUCCUGGGCUUCCAAAGUGGUGUAGCCUCUGCUGAGUGUUGCAACACCAACGACUGUAACUCACAGACUCUGACUUUACCUGGUUCUGAGUAUCUAAAUGGCCUGAAGUGUGUUGCUUGUGACCUCAGCCCUUCUCAGUGCAACACUCCAACAGCAUAUUCAGAAGAUGGGGGCAACUGCUUGCCAACAGCUGGUGAGUUUCCAGCCUUAAUAUUUCAACAUUUCCUCUUUAACUUAUGCUAAACAUAUUAAUUUUCAUAACUUUUUAUACAUUGUGCCAAAUAUAAUUUUAAACAUUAGAAAUGCAGUAAUGUCUAAAUGUAAUUUACAUUUGAAGGCAUCUGCUAAAAAAGACUAAAGAAUCAAAUAGGUUAAAAUCCUAAAAAUAGGGUGUGAUCAAUUAUCUCAUUUGUUUAAAGACUGUAUUGAAUUUCCUAUCUAUGUACUGUAAGUAGUUUAGGUUAACGAGGGACAGGAACCUGCCCAAAGGACUAGUAGGACCACCCGCGACUGCUCAUGUUAAAGUAAAUGGAACACCAUGCACUGCUCUCUUGGACAGUGGCUCUCAGGUCACAAUAAUUUUUGACAGCUGGUAUGUCGAACACUUCUCACAUGUUCCUUUACAUCCAGUGUCAGGUUUAGCCAUCUGGGGUUUAAGUGAAUCUGAGAGCAGUUACCCAUAUAAAGGCUAAAUUUAAGUAGACUUGGAGUUUUUAGAGAAG